rnacentral:rRNA from 1 species
GACGAACGCUGGCGGCGUGCUUAACACAUGCGAGUCGAACGGAAAGGCCCUGCUUUUGUGGGGUGCUCGAGUGGCGAACGGGUGAGUAACACGUGAGUAACCUGCCCUUGACUUUGGGAUAACUUCAGGAAACUGGGGCUAAUACCGGAUAGGAGCUCCUGCUGCAUGGUGGGGGUUGGAAAGUUUCGGCGGUUGGGGAUGGACUCGCGGCUUAUCAGCUUGUUGGUGGGGUAGUGGCUUACCAAGGCUUUGACGGGUAGCCGGCCUGAGAGGGUGACCGGCGACAUUGGGACUGAGAUACGGCCCAGACUCCUACGGGAGGCAGCAGUGGGGAAUAUUGCACAAUGGGCGGAAGCCUGAUGCAGCAACGCCGCGUGCGGGAUGACGGCCUUCGGGUUGUAAACCGCUUUCGCCUGUGACGAAGCGUGAGUGACGGUAAUGGGUAAAGAAGCACCGGCUAACUACGUG